UUUCCUACGGGUGGCAGCAGUGGGGAAUAUUGGACAAUGGGGGAAACCCUGAUCCAGCGACGCCGCGUGGGUGAAGAAGGCCUGCGGGUUGUAAAGCCCUUUCGGUAGGGACGAAAGCUCUCGACCUAACACGUCGGGAGGUUGACUUAACCUACAGAAGAAGCACCGGCUAACUCUGUGCCAGCAGCCGCGGUAAUACAGAGGGUGCGAGCGUUAAUCGGAAUUACUGGGCGUAAAGCGCACGUAGGCGGCUUGGUAUGUCGGGUGUGAAAUCCCCGGGCUCAACCUGGGAACUGCAUCCGAAACUGCCUUGCUCGAGUAUGGGAGAGGGAAGCGGAAUUUCCGGUGUAGCGGUGAAAUGCGUAGAUAUCGGAAGGAACAUCAGUGGCGAAGGCGGCUUCCUGGACCAAUACUGACGCUCAGGUGCGAAAGCGUGGGGAGCAAACAGGAUUAGAUACCCCAGUAGUC
rnacentral:rRNA from 1 species